AGUGGAGACCUCAACAACCUUGCAAGGUCUGCCUUUGAUAACUAUAUAACCAUUCUUGCGAAUAGUACCAGCUUGUUGAGGGUAAGUUUUUGAGGCACCAGCAUCAGCUUUGGACUCAAAAUGGUGUUCUUCAUCAGACAUAGCUAAAUCUCUCUCUUCUUCUGCUAUGAACUUCUCUGUGUUUCCCCUUGCGAGAAGACAACCUUUUCUCAGUGCUCAUCUCAGCCACUGCCU
rnacentral:misc_RNA from 1 species